UAGUUUUUUUAGAAAUAAAUUUAAUUUACAAAUUUUUAAUUUUUAAUUUAUUUUUUAAAUUUAAAAAUUUAUUAAUUUGAAUAUUUUAAGGGAUAAGCUUUAAAAUAAAAUAUUAAAAAUUAUUGAAUAAUUUAUUUAAAAUGUAUGCAUAGAAUUAGCAAUCAUUUAUAAGUUUGUUAUAAAUUAUUUUAUAAUUUAUAUUAUUUAAUUUUGUUUUCAUUGAAUUUAUAAAAAUUUUUUUAUUAAUUUUAAAUAAAAAGUAAUAAUGAUCGAAUUAGUAUAUUUAAUUAUUAUUGUUAAAAUAUUUUAUAUUGAAAAGUUUAUAUAAAGAACUCGGCAAAUUUAUUUAUACUCGCCUGUUUAACAAAAACAUGUCUUUUUGAAUUAUAUUUAAAGUCUGACCUGCCCACUGAAUAAUUUUAAAUGGCCGCAGUAUUCUGACUGUGCAAAGGUAGCAUAAUCAUUAGUCUUUUAAUUGAAGGCUGGUAUGAACGGUUGGACGAAGUAUAAGCUGUUUCAUAUAAAUUUAUAAUAGAAUUUUAUAUUUUAGUUAAAAAGCUAAAAUUUUAUUAAAAGACGAGAAGACCCUAUAAAUCUUUAUAUUUAAUAUUAACUAAAUUUUUUUGAUUUAUUUUAUUUUUUUAAUAUUAAUUAUUUUGUUGGGGUGAUAUUAAAAUUUAAUGAACUUUUAAUUUUUUUAAAAUCAUUAAUUUAUGAAUUAUUGAUCCAUUAGUAUUGAUUAUAAGAUUAAGUUACUUUAGGGAUAACAGCGUAAUUUUUUUUGAGAGUUCAUAUCGACAAAAAAGUUUGCGACCUCGAUGUUGGAUUAAGGUAUAAUUUUGGGUGUAGCCGUUCAAAAAUUAAGUCUGUUCGACUUUU
rnacentral:rRNA from 1 species